UACAUGGGGUGCAAACGUUGCUCGGAAUUAUUGGGCGUAAAGCGCGCGUAGGCGGUCGCUUAAGUCGGAUGUGAAAUCCCUCGGCUUAACUGAGGAAGUGCAUCCGAGACUGAGUGGCUAGAGUAUGAAAGAGGGUCGCGGAAUUCCCGGUGUAGAGGUGAAAUUCGUAGAUAUCGGGAGGAACACCGGCGGCGAAGGCGGCGACCUGGUUCAAGACUGACGCUGAGGCGCGAAAGCGUGGGGAGCAAAC
rnacentral:rRNA from 1 species